UUGUAGCCCAGAUUGAAGUGGAAAACCCGGAGGUUCCAAAUGGAUUUUUUGUUGCUACAAAAGAGCGACCAGCGGAAGCUCCUUUUGUAGCAAACAAAAAACCUUUUGGAACCGAGGAUUUGAAACGAAAAGCUGGAUUGGCU
rnacentral:sRNA from 1 species